ACGAACGCUGGCGGCGUGCCUAAUACAUGCAAGUCGAGCGAAGUUUUUCUGGUGCUUGCACCGGAAAAACUUAGCGGCGACCGGGUGAGUAACACGUAAAGAACCUGCCUCAUAGACUGGGACAACUAUUGGAAACGAUAGCUAAUACCGGAUAAUAGCAUUAACUGCAUGGUUGAUGUUUAAAAGUUGGUUUUGCUAACACUAUGAGAUGGCUUUGCGGUGCAUUAGCUAGUUGGUGGGGUAAAGGCCUACCAAGGCGACGAUGCAUAGCCGACCUGAGAGGGUGAUCGGCCACACUGGGACUGAGACACGGCCCAGACUCCUACGGGAGGCAGCAGUAGGGAAUCUUCCGCAAUGGGCGAAAGCCUGACGGAGCAACGCCGCGUGAGUGAAGAAGGAUUUCGGUUCGUAAAGCUCUGUUGUUAGGGAAGAAUGAUUGUGUAGUAACUAUACACAGUAGAGACGGUACCUAACCAGAAAGCCACGGCUAACUACGUG
rnacentral:rRNA from 1 species